rnacentral:rRNA from 1 species
UACGUAGGGGGCUAGCGUUGUCCGGAAUCAUUGGGCGUAAAGCGCGUGUAGGCGGUCCGGUAAGUCCGCUGUGAAAGUCCAGGGCUCAACCCUGGAAUGCCGGUGGAAACUGUCAAGCUUGAGUCCGGAAGAGGCGAGUGGAAUUCCUGGUGUAGCGGUGAAAUGCGCAGAUAUCAGGAGGAACACCAAUGGCGAAGGCAGCUCGCUGGGACGGUACUGACGCUGAGACGCGAAAGCGUGGGGAGCAAACAGG